UGGGGAAUAUUGGACAAUGGGGGCAACCCUGAUCCAGCCAUGCCGCGUGUGUGAAGAAGGCCUUUUGGUUGUAAAGCACUUUAAGCGAGGAGGAGGCUACCUGUAUUAAUACUAUAGGCUAGUGGACGUUACUCGCAGAAUAAGCACCGGCUAACUCUGUGCCAGCAGCCGCGGUAAUACAGAGGGUGCGAGCGUUAAUCGGAAUUACUGGGCGUAAAGCGCGCGUAGGCGGUUUGUUAAGUCGGAUGUGAAAUCCCCGGGCUCAACCUGGGAAUUGCAUUCGAUACUGGCAAGCUAGAGUAUGGGAGAGGAAGGUAGAAUUCCAGGUGUAGCGGUGAAAUGCGUAGAGAUCUGGAGGAAUACCGAUGGCGAAGGCAGCCUUCUGGCCUAAUACUGACGCUGAGGUGCGAAAGCAUGGGGAGCAAACAGGAUUAGAUACCCAAGUAGUCCCUGAGCGGGC
rnacentral:rRNA from 1 species